UAGAGUUUGAUCAUGGCUCAGAUUGAACGCUGGCGGAAUGCUUUACACAUGCAAGUCGAACGGUAGAGGGGGCAACCCCUUGAGAGUGGCGAACGGGUGAGUAAUGUAUCGGAACGUGCCCAGUCGUGGGGGAUAACGUAGUGAAAAUUACGCUAAUACCGCAUACGAUCUAUGGAUGAAAGCGGGGGAUCGCAAGACCUCGCGCGAUUGGAGCGGCCGAUAUCAGAUUAGGUAGUUGGUAGGGUAAAGGCCUACCAAGCCAACGAUCUGUAGCUGGUCUGAGAGGACGACCAGCCACACUGGAACUGAGACACGGUCCAGACUCCUACGGGAGGCAGCAGUGGGGAAUUUUGGACAAUGGGCGAAAGCCUGAUCCAGCCAUUCCGCGUGCAGGAUGAAGGCCCUCGGGUUGUAAACUGCUUUUGUACAGAACGAAAAGGUCUCUAUUAAUACUAGGGGCUCAUGACGGUACUGUAAGAAUAAGCACCGGCUAACUACGUGCCAGCCGCCGCGGUAAUUC
rnacentral:rRNA from 1 species